rnacentral:rRNA from 1 species
CUUAGUGGCGGACGGGUGAGUAACGCGUGGGUAACCUGCCCCAUACCGGGGGAUACCACCUGGAAACAGGUGCUAAUACCGCAUAAGCGCACGGGAGCGCAUGCUCCUGUGUGAAAAACUCCGGUGGUAUGGGAUGGACCCGCGUCUGAUUAGCCAGUUGGCAGGGUAACGGCCUACCAAAGCGACGAUCAGUAGCCGGCCUGAGAGGGUGGACGGCCACAUUGGGACUGAGACACGGCCCAAACUCCUACGGAAGGCAGCAG